UACGGAGGAUGCAAGCGUUAUCCGGAUUUAUUGGGUUUAAAGGGUGCGCAGGUUGUUUGAUAAGUCAGUGGUGAAAGUCUGUCGCUUAACGGUAGGAUUGCCAUUGAUACUGUUGGACUUGAAUAUGGAUGAGGUAGGCGGAAUGUGUAGUGUAGCGGUGAAAUGCAUAGAUAUUACACAGAACACCGAUUGCGAAGGCAGCUCACAAAGCCAAGAUUGACGCUGAGGCACGAAAGCGUGGGGAUCAAACAGGA
rnacentral:rRNA from 1 species